GACGAACCUUGCUAACGUUAUUCGGAAUUACUGGGCUUAAAGGGUGCGUAGGCGGUGCAGAAAGUUGGGUGUGAAAUCCCGAGGCUCAACCUCGGAAUUGCAUUCAAUACUGCUUCGCUCGAGUACUGGAGAAGAGGCUGGAAUUUACGGUGUAGCAGUGAAAUGCGUAGAUAUCGUAAGGAGGGCCGGUGGCGAAAGCGAGCCUCUGGACAGUUACUGACGCUGAUGCACGAAGGCCAGGGGAGCAAACGGG
rnacentral:rRNA from 1 species